AAAAUUGUUUUAUUUUGUAAUUUUAACUGGAGGGUUAGAGAAAUGGUUCAUGAUUAAAAAUGCUGGCUGUUCUCGCAGAAGACUCCCAAUGUAACAGGCCUCAGACCUUAGCACAUCUGACUCCAUUAUGGAAGUACUGCUCAGUUCAAAACUAAAGCAGAGGCCCAACCCGUCAAGGCCUGUAGUUAGGGGAAAGUCUCUCAAGUACUAACCUGGUUUUUUUUUAGCUUCUGUAGUUCCGUAUCUGGGUAACUGUUCUUGCUAACUGAGGUAUAUCGCCUCAGGAUGUGGUUUUGUGCUUAAAAACUCACCCUGAGAAAGGCUCCAGGCUAUACUGGGCUCUACACACAGAGAGACUGUAGUGCAGUCACUGGCCCAUAAAGACUUUGUCUGCUAAAACCUGUGUCUGAGUAAUCUCUGGUGGAUCCCCCACAACACCAGAAGCACAGGGCAGCUCACAGCCUCCUGUACUGUCAGGUCCAGCGGAUUCGAUGGCCUCUCCUGCCUUCAGUACACAUUGGGCACACACAUGUUGCACAGACACACAUGUAGGCAUACAACUCAUAUAUAAUAUUUUUUAAAUGUUGAUGAGAAGAAAACGCAUACUGCUCUCACAGGGCCUGAGUUUAGUUCCUAGUCCUUGCACUGGUGAAUCAAAGCCACCCACGGGUCUGGCUUUGGGGAUUUACUGCCGCCUAUGCUUGCACACAACUUAAAAAUAAAACAUUUAGCCGGGCGUGGUGGCGCACGCCUUUAAUCCCAGCACUCGGGGUAUCAUAUCUACUGGGGAGGUGACGGGAUAGGGUGCUCAUGUCCCCUUACCCAGGGUGGCAUCUGUGAUUUCUAGCAUGGGUCACUGUAACCUCAUUGAUUGAACACAGGCUGACUUUCAAAUGAAGACCUACAAAACCUCGGAUUUUGGGAAAGACAGUACCUGUCAACAGUAUUACUUAGUGAAGUAGGUCAUCCGACCAUGUGAUAGGCACAGGCCAUCUCCAUCCCAAACCUGGGACACUCGUGGCUCCUGUACAUCACAUUUCUCCUUAACCUGUCUGACACAAAAAAGAAGUGCUCUUCCGUUCAGCUCUAGCUACUCAUCUCAAGGCCAGAGAAGCCAGGCAGGGAGGAAGCUGGGGACCAGCCCAGUGGCUUCGCCAGCACUCAGUAGCACUUUCCUUCCUUAGGCCGCAUCGCCCUCUAUGAAUGAGAAGCAGCAUUGCAAGGGACACCUCUGAGAGCUGCCUCAGGACACACAGGUGAGAUGCAGAGAUGCCUUCAACAGCUGCUCCAGCAGGGUACACAAGGCAAACUUACAAUUUGGGAGGCAGAAGCAGGAGGAUCAGAUCAGCAUGAACUGGAAGUCAGUGAGGCUUGUUUCAAACCACCUGGAAGGGCUAAGCAGGGGAUUAUUCUAAACAAAGUUGCUCUAAUGUUGGGAUCUACAACCAUAAAAUGAACAUGGAGAUUCAGACGGCUGUCAAAACUGUAGGCCGGGGGGUGGUGGCACAUGCCUUUAAUUCCAGCACUUGGGAGGCAGAGGCAGGCAGAUUUCCGAGUUCGAGGCCAGCCUGGUCUACAAAGUGAGUUCCAGGACAGCCAGGGCUACACAGAGAAACCCUGUCUCGAAAAACAAACAGACAAAAAACAAAANNNNNNNNNNNNNNNNNNNNNNNNNNNNNNNNNNNNNNNCCCCCAGUGAGGGGCCUGGGAGCAUGGUUAGGGGUAAAAGGCAGAGAGUUGUCCUCUGACCUUCACACUCACAGUGGCUACACAACACACAAAAUACACAUUCAUGCAACAAAAGGAAAACCCCAUCUCAAAAGGAAAGAGAGUUGUCAGCUAUACUGAGUCUGCUUUCUAUGUCCUUUCAUGUUAUCUUGUAGUACCUGGGCCCUUCGAGGUCGAACAGGCUGUUAUCAAAGCUUGUCACCAGGCCAUAGUUCAGGGAGGGAGCUGGGCAGAAACAACAAGGAGCAGCCCGCAGUAUGGAGAGGACCACUUUAUUCUUAGGCUGGCACAGAGGUGGGAGUGAGUGAGGCAGGUGGACCCCUCCCUGGGCUGCUGGGAUUUGGCACGGUGGCCAAGUCUUACAGGUGAGGAAUACAUUCAGUCACGCCUUGAGGGCUGGGUAUUGGGCGCAGUGACUUCAGGAAGUACCCAGGGGUGUCUCUCAGCCCUGGGCUCAGGCAUCCAUGCUUAAACUGUACACAUUUAGUUUAGUGGCAACCUCUGGAAAAGUAACCAGAAUUCCUCAGGGUCUUUAGAGUGCAGGGGUCUCAGGGAAUGGCCAUGAGGCUCAAAAGUUGGAGCUGGGGACAGUCAUAUUCUGCUACACCCUCCAUGGCAUGACAGAGAGGGACCUGCUGGAGUUUGGUCCUGUGGCCCACAGGGGCCACACAACACACAAAGUUUUGCUACACAAGAGGCUGCCACUGAAGAAAGAGAGGUUCCUGUCACCACCUUCCAGGAACUGCAAAUCUCAGGGUGGUAGUCAUAAGUGAAUUCAUUACUGGAUCCCAGGUUAGACCGGACACUGUUCCCAGGAGGGUGGCCACUAGAAACCGGUUAACAGUAAUCCCAAAAAUCUCCAGAUGUGCUGGCUGACACUUGGGAGGCAGAGGCAAGUGGAUCUGUGAGUUCGAGCCCAGCCUGGCCUACAGAAUAAGUUCCAGGACAGCCUACAUAGUAAGAGUCUGUCUCAAAACAAAACCAAAAAUAUUUCUGAAUACUGGGUUUGGCACCUUACAUCUUUAACAAAGCACUUGGGAUGCAGAGGCAGGAGGAUCUCUGUGAGUUCCAGGCCAGUUUCAAAACCAAACCAACAAUGUAAAAAACGAAAGGAGAUGAAGCCAGCCGUGUUCACAACAGAGCCAGUCUGUGUGUGCGUUUGUGUGGCUGCGCACUGGGGUAGCCCAUGGCUGUCUAAUUCUCCCUGUCCCCUGGGCACCCUAUGUCUGGCUCUCCCAGGCUCCUCCAUGGGUGUGGGGGUCACACAUGUGCACUGAGGCUUAUGCAGCAAACACCUCCCCACUGUGCAGACCCUUAUUGGUUUUGUUUUGUUUCUUUAAGACAAGGUCUCUCUGUAUAGACCAGGCUGGCCUCAAACUGACAGAUCUGCCUGUUUCUGUCUCCUGACUAGGAUCAAAGGCCUGUGCCACCCCGCCUGGCUCCUUUACAUUUUUUUUUAAGACCAUCUUGUUAUGAGACCCUGGCUGGCCUGAUCAUUACUGUGGAGGUCAGAGUGGCCUCAAGUUUAUAGCAAUCCCCUUGCAGCUGCCUGCAGAGUCUUGGGAUCACAGGCAUGAAGUGUGUGCACCUUUCCUGACCUACAAAGACCCCCAGAACACCCAAUACUGGGAGUCCUGCCCUGGGGAUGCUGGGGGGGUGGCAUGGCACAUUAGUACAUCUUUGGAGGUAUGCUGGCUGCCUAUGUGGUCACCCACACACAAUGUGGCUGUAAACAGAAGACAUCUGGUGGCCCCUCCCCUUCCAGGUUGGCAAGUGAGGGACAAAGCUGUCUGGGCAGAGAGCCAUGGAGAAGGGACAAGUGGUGGUUAGCAGUGGUUCCAGAUCCUGCCUCCUGUCGGAGGCCAUGGCACAUACAGUGUAAACCCAGUGGCUGAAAGCACAGUGUCCAGGUUCAAGUUCAGCCCCUGGAUUCCGGCAAGGGGACGGGUUAGAGUCAGGGCCCCCAGUCACCAUGAGAAGGGGCGGAAGCUGUGGUCUUGCUGCUCCUCAGACAGUGGCGUGAGUGUGCGUGCCAUGCUUCUGAGACACGGGCUGCACACAGCUGUCUCCCCAAGUCUCAGCGGACGGGAGGGGCUCUCAGUGACACAUCCGUGAUGUCAUCUCUUUCUG
rnacentral:lncRNA from 1 species